CAAGCAAACUCUAAAUUCUCAUAGAAACAUGGAUUUAUUUCUGUCUGCAUUGUUUUAAAAGUUUAACUUGAAGGUUUAUUUCCUGAUAGAUUUAAUUCUGGAGGAUGUUUUUAGAUGAAGAAUGAAUAAAUUGCAGCUCCAGGUGCAUCAGCAGUGACCACACCUGGUUGUAUUUUCCACAUCCAUGACCAGAGUCCAAACCUUAUUGGAGGCUGUUGACCGUACAGCUCACUGAGAGGACAGGCGACGCUCUGACGCUCUCAACAGCACUCAGGAUGGUUCACACCAUGGAGGGAUUAUCUCUUAAAUCUCCACUCAGAAGCUUCAACGUGUUGGUUUUCCUUCUUCUGAUGCACUUUUAUGAAGCUCAGUCUCAGGCGAUGGCUCCAUCUCAAGCCGUUGUAUCGAUGCUUGGUGGAGACGCUGUGCUGCCGUGCCGUCUGGAAGCUGGUUUAGAUGCUGCUCAGCUGACGGUGGAGUGGGGGAGGCCGGAUCUGGAGCCCAGAUUUGUCUAUAUUUGGCACAACGGGAAGGAAAUUACAAAUGACCAAAACGCAUUAAUAUUUUUUUAAGUUUAUAAGAACAGUUUCACCUCCAAGUUCUGCUUCAAGGAAUCAUAUAAAGUUCAAUAAAUCAGAUGUAACCAGAAGGUUUGUUAUCAAAUAUUGUAUCACUGUACUUUUUGUGAUGAAUAAGUCUCAAUAAUUAACACAUUAUUGUUUUUAGCCCUGAAGGACAUUGUACAAACAAGAACAUAUGCAAAAAAAAAACAAACAAAAAACAAACAAACAACAAAACAACAUUGGACAACAUUACAGACAAAUUUUAAUAGUUUCUUAAAGAAAAAGGUUGAAUCACACGUGUAAGGAUUUAUUGCAAACAUUUUCAUUUCCAUUUUUAAGAAUUGUUUAGUGGCAAACUGAGACAAAAGGAAAAAGAAAAGCCACAUUUUAUUAAUUUUAAGGCCCAAUUAACCCCAUUGAAAAGAACAAAUCAUUAAUCUUCCCUUUAUUUCUGUUUAUAGUCAUUUGCAUAUUGUGAAUGUUUAGAAAAUAACAAAGUGAGUGGUUAGCCACAAACAUGGUAAAGCUUUAAACAUUAUUUAGGCCAAAAGUGUGGUGAAAAAAUGUGGUUUCACCUAAACUAAAAAGUUACACAAUAGUACAACAAAAGUUAAAAAUAAAAGAAUAAUAAUAAUGCAGAAGUCAGUGCACACUAAUAUAAAAGCUACAAAACAUGUUUACAGUACAAGUGUGUUACUCUGAUUGUUAUGUGAAAUUCUAAAGAUAAUCAAGCCACUAUAACAUGAAACUAACAAAAACAUUCAUGUUCAUCGUGUAAAUCUACAUGGUCCAGAUCUGUCUGUCUGUCUGUCCGUCCGUCCGUCCGUCCGUCCGUCCGUCCGUCCGUCCGUCCGUCCGUCCGUCCGUCCGUCCGUCCGUCCGUCCGUCCGUCUGUCUGUCUGUCCGUCUAUCCGUCCAUCCGUCCAUCCGUCCAUCAAUCCAUCCGUCCAUCCAUCCAUCUGUCCAUCCAUCCAUCCAUCCAUCUGUCUAUCCAUCCAUCCAUCCAUCCAUCUGAAUCUUAUUCUAAAUGUCUCUAAGAACAGAUCAGAGACAUAAACUCUGACUGUUUCUGUAUUUUCUCAUGUUAACAUGAUGAGGAGAUGAGAUCUGAUCCUGUUACUUUCCUUCAUUUAUCUGACUGUAGUUUGCUCUGAAGUACUUUCUUGUGAUUCUCCAUCUCCUCUAUUUGUUGUUUCAUCUGCUCCUUGCUGAUCUCCAGUUUCUGCUUCUUUUCUUUCUGUUUAUUAACCUCAUUAUAUACAGCCUUCAUGAUACUCUCUGUGGUAAUGUUCAGUUGUUGAUGAUCUUUCUUUCUGUCCUCCAGGUUCCAUUUGACUUCAGUCAUGAUGUCCUUUAGUCUAAUGUAUCCCUGUGCUCUGUUUGCUGUCUGAUCUCCCUCCUUCUUCAUCACUUCUUCAUCCAGUGACUUCAUCUUCUUCUCCUGUUCUUCAGAUUUCUUAUCUGCCUCUUGACUUUGGGAGUCGAGCUUUUCUUUCUGCGUCUUCAGUUCCCCCGCAAUUUUCUGUAGAGCUUCAAUCGUCUGUAUCACGUUGUUUUGUUCUUCCUCAUUCUUCAAGAACUCCUCAUCAAGUUUUGCUUUUUUCUUGUCCAAAUCUUCUAUUUUAUUGAUUUCUGUCAUCAGCUUUUGUCUCUCUUCGUGUGGAUGCUGGAGCCGUUUCAUUUCUGCAGUAAAAACAUGAGUUAAAAACAUAAAACCCAAAGUAAAAAUCACGUCUACUGGUGUCAAAAGGUUUUUGAUCAGAUCACAAAUGGAAUGAAAUGUUUAAAAUUAGAACCUCAUUUUUAAGUAUAUUUUCAGUCUUACAUUGAUUCUGUAACAUUUAAAAAAAAAUCUAAAUUUUCACUUUUAUAUGUGAACAUUAAGUGAAUGUUUAUGACUGUUUGGAUCUUUCUUUUUUUUUUUUUUUAGCUUGAUAGCUUAAUCAGUGCAGAGCUUUCACAUGAAAUACAUUUUUUAAUAAAUCAAACUCAGUUUUUACUCACGGAUUUUGUUUUGCUUCCAUUUCCAGAUAAAAAAUGCAGCUGCUAGAACCAACAUGAUUCCAAAAAUCACACUAAAGGCAACAGAAGCAGCGCAGCUAGACGAGACCUUGAAGAAAUCAUCUGAAAUCAUAAAAACACUGCAGUUACAAACCACCAAACCUCAACUGUUCUCAGCUGAAACUCAUCCUUUCUGUCAUUAUUUCUACCUGGAACAUGGAUCCAUGUGUCUCUGGUCUGGUUGAUGUUGUUCUGCUGGACUCUGCAGGUGAACUUGUUUCCAUGUUUCUUCUCCACAGUCACUCUGCUGCUGACACUAUAGAGGUCAUCAGGACCUCUGACUGUCUCUGUAGGUCCAGCAGAGAGGAGGUUUCCCUCAGCGUCCAGCCACAACACCUCAGGUUCUGGAUACCAGCCUGCAGACUCACACUGUAACACAACUGAGCUGCUGGUUCUACCAAGUCCUGCUAAACUGAUUCCAGACAAAUCUGGGCUCCAGAUCCGGCCUCCCCCACUCCACCGUCAGCUGAGCAGCAUCUAAACCAGCUUCCAGACGGCACGGCAGCACAGCGUCUCCACCAAGCAUCGAUACAACGGCUUGAGAUGGAGCCAUCGCCUGAGACUGAGCUGCACAAAAUACAUGGAGCUCAUAUCAAACAAUCACAGCUUAAAGUUGCUGCAGUGAAAACUGUAGACGUUUGCUUCAUGUCAUUUAAACUAUGUUUGCUCUGGACCCAACUAUAAUGUUGUCUUGUCCAAAGCAGACCUUUAUGAAACAUUUUCUACAAUAAAAUUCUAAAACUC